GAUGAACGCUAGCGGCAGGCUUAACACAUGCAAGUCGAGGGGCAGCACAAGUAGCAAUACUGGGUGGCGACCGGCGCAAGGGUGCGUAACGCGUGAGCAACAUGCCCGUAUCAGGGGGAUAAUCCAUGGAAACGUGGUCUAAUACCCCAUAGUAAGUUUUUGAGGCAUCUCAAGGAUUUUAAAGCUUUGGUGGAUACGGAUUGGCUCGCGUGACAUUAGCUGGAUGGUAGGGUAACGGCUUACCAUGGCUACGAUGUCUAGGGGUUCUGAGAGGAAGGUCCCCCACACUGGAACUGAGACACGGUCCAGACUCCUACGGGAGGCAGCAGUGAGGAAUAUUGGACAAUGGAUGGAAAUCUGAUCCAGCCAUGCCGCGUGCAGGAAGACGGCCCUAGUGGGUUGUAAACUGUCUUUUGUAUGGGAGCAAAUAAGAUCUACGUGUAGAUUGAUGAGAGUACCAUACGAAUAAGCACCGGCUAACUCCGUCG
rnacentral:rRNA from 1 species